GUAAUGCCUAGGAAUCUGCCUGGUAGUGGGGGAUAACGUCCGGAAACGGACGCUAAUACCGCAUACGUCCUACGGGAGAAAGCAGGGGACCUUCGGGCCUUGCGCUAUCAGAUGAGCCUAGGUCGGAUUAGCUAGUUGGUGGGGUAAUGGCUCACCAAGGCGACGAUCCGUAACUGGUCUGAGAGGAUGAUCAGUCACACUGGAACUGAGACACGGUCCAGACUCCUACGGGAGGCAGCAGUGGGGAAUAUUGGACAAUGGGCGAAAGCCUGAUCCAGCCAUGCCGCGUGUGUGAAGAAGGUCUUCGGAUUGUAAAGCACUUUAAGUUGGGAGGAAGGGCAGUAAAUUAAUACUUUGCUGUUUUGACGUUACCGACAGAAUAAGCACCGGCUAACUCUGUGCCAGCAGCCGCGGUAAUACAGAGGGUGCAAGCGUUAAUCGGAAUUACUGGGCGUAAAGCGCGCGUAGGUGGUUCGUUAAGUUGGAUGUGAAAUCCCCGGGCUCAACCUGGGAACUGUAUUCAAAACUGACGAGCUAGAGUAUGGUAGAGGGUGGUGGAAUUUCCUGUGUAGCGGUGAAAUGCGUAGAUAUAGGAAGGAACACCAGUGGCGAA
rnacentral:rRNA from 1 species